rfam:Ictidomys tridecemlineatus contig010109, whole genome shotgun sequence.
UAUGUUGUGGCUCAGUGGUACAGCACUUGCCUCCCACAUAUGAGGCACUGGGUUCAAUCCUCAGCAACACAU